UUGAGUUGGAAGGUCAGCUGAAUGUUUUCUCUGCCUCUCUGAGCCAGCAGGCUUUUACCCCAGCAUCUGGCCCCUGAGUCUUCCUUCGUUGGUAAAAUUGAAUGGCUGGGAUUUUUGGUUUUCAAAUAACAGUUUGGCUCUCCAGCUUGUGGUAGGAACCUCAGGGACAGUGAUAGAGCACUUCUGCUGAGGACAACCUGAGAAGCCAUCAGAUCUGGUCCAGUGAGGUGCAUGGAGCCAGAAGCAGGCACAGGAAUGGAUNUGUUUCUCGUGAUCCGGCACAAGAAGACCACCAUCUUCACUGAUGCCAAGGAGUCGAGCACAGUGUUGGAGCUCAAGCGCAUAAUUGAGGGCAUCAUGAAGAGGCCUCCUGAGGAGCAGCUGCUGUUCAAGGAAGAUCAGCUGCUUGAUGAGACAAAAACUCUGGGUGAAUGUGGCUUCACUAGUCAGGUAGCAAGGCCAGAGGCCCCAGCCACAGUGUUCCUGGCCUUCAGAAUAGGAGAUGUCUUUGAAGGUCUGGAGGUCUACCCCUAUUCUCCUCCUCUAAAUCUUUUAGACCUACUGAUGGAAUUUGAAAAUGAUGAUGGUGUCCAAUAUUUAGAUGAGGACCCCAUGCCCAACUCCUAG